rnacentral:rRNA from 1 species
UACGUAGGGGGCAAGCGUUGUCCGGAAUCAUUGGGCGUAAAGCGCGUGUAGGCGGCUCGGUAAGUCUGCUCUGAAAGUCCAAGGCUCAACCUUGGGAUGCGGGUGGAUACUGCUGGGCUCGAGUCCGGAAGAGGCGAGUGGAAUUCCUGGUGUAGCGGUGAAAUGCGCAGAUAUCAGGAGGAACACCGAUGGCGAAGGCAGGUCUCUGGGCAUUAACUGACGCUGAGGAGCGAAAGCAUGGGGAGCGAACAGG